rnacentral:misc_RNA from 1 species
UAUUCGUAGGUGAACCUGCGUAUGGAUCAUUACCGUUGCGUGAUUGCUUUCAAUCAUGAACAACCUCUAACUUCGCGCAGUCUCAUGCACGCGUAUCUCUCUGUGCGUGUGCGUGCUGACUGUGUCGCACCAUUAUGUAACUAGCAAGUCACUGCAUCUCGCAUGCCCGGUGACUUGCUUCAAACCUUUCCAUUCCAACAAAUCAUUGUUGUUUGUCAUUGAAUAUGAAUCGAAUCUAAACGAUACACAAACAAAAAAUAAUUCUGUACGGUGGAUCACUCGGCUCGUUAUUCGAUGAAGAACGCAGC